AGCGAACGCUGGCGGCAGGCCUAACACAUGCCAGUCGAACGAACCUUUCGGGGUUAGUGGCGGACGGGUGAGUAACACGUGGGAACGUGCCUUUAGGUUCGGAAUAACUCAGGGAAACUUGUGCUAAUACCGAAUGUGCCCUUCGGGGGAAAGAUUUAUCGCCUUUAGAGCGGCCCGCGUCUGAUUAGCUAGUUGGUUGAGGUAAUGGCUCACCAAGGCGACGAUCAGUAACUGGUCUGAGAGGAUGAUCAGCCACAUUGGGACUGAGACACGGCCCAAACUCCUACGGGAGGCAGCAGUGGGGAAUCUUGCGCAAUGGGCGAAAGCCUGACGCAGCCAUGCCGCGUGAAUGAUGAAGGUCUUAGGAUUGUAAAAUUCUUUCACCGGGGACGAUAAUGACGGUACCCGGAGAAGAAGCCCCGGCUAACUUCGUG
rnacentral:rRNA from 1 species